ACUCAAAUGAAUUGACGGGGACCCACACAAGCGGUGGAGCAUGGGGUUUAAUUCGAUAAUAAACGAUUCACCUCACCCAGACUUGACAUCCUAGGAAUCCCGCCGAAAGGUGGGAGUGCCGCAAGGAACCUAGAGACAGGCGAUGCACGGUCGUCGUCAGCUCGUGCCUUGAGGUGUACUGUUAAGUCAGCGAACGAGCGCAACCCUCAUCCUAUGUUGCUAUUUCAUGGGAGACUGCCGCCUCCAAGGCGGAGGAAGGUGGGGAUGACGUCAGAUCAGCGUGUCCUUUAUGUCUGGGGCAACACCCAUGCUACAAUGGUCGGUACAGAGGGCUGCUAAGCCGCGAGGCGGAGCCAAUCCCAUCAAAACCGAUCUCAGUUCGGAUUGCAGGCUGCAACUCGCCUGCAUGAAGUUGGAAUCGCUAGUAACCGUGGAUCAGCUAUGCCACGGUGAAUAUGUUCCUGGGUCUUGUACACACCGCCCGU
rnacentral:rRNA from 1 species